GAACGGGCAGGCUAGAGUGCAGGAGAGGAAGGUAGAAUUCCCGGUGUAGCGGUGAAAUGCGUAGAGAUCGGGAGGAAUACCAGUGGCGAAGGCGGCUUUCUGGACUGACACUGACGCUGAGGUGCGAAAGCGUGGGUAGCAAACAGGAUUAGAUACCCUGGUAGUCCACGCCGUAAACGAUGUCGACUAGCCGUUGGGUCCCUUGAGGACUUAGUGGCGCAGUUAACGCGAUAAGUCGACCGCCUGGGGAGUACGGCCGCAAGGUUAAAACUCAAAUGAAUUGACGGGGGCCCGCACAAGCGGUGGAGCAUGUGGUUUAAUUCGAUGCAACGCGAAGAACCUUACCUACCCUUGACAUCCUGCGAACUGGGUAGAGAUACCCGGGUGCCUUCGGGAGCGCAGAGACAGGUGCUGCAUGGCUGUCGUCAGCUCGUGUUGUGAAAUGUUGGGUUAAGUCCCGUAACGAGCGCAACCCUUAUCCCUAUUUGCCAGCGGUCCGGCCGGGAACUCUAGGGAGACUGCCGGUGACAAACCGGAGGAAGGUGGGGACGACGUCAAGUCAUCAUGGCCCUUACGGGUAGGGCUACACACGUGCUACAAUGGCCGGUACAAAGGGUUGCGAAAGCGCGAGCUGAAGCCAAUCCCGGAAAGUCGGUCUCAGUCCGGAUCGGAGUCUGCAACUCGACUCCGCGAAGUCGGAAUCGCUAGUAAUCGUGCAUCAGAAUGGCACGGUGAAUACGUUCCCGGGCCUUGU
rnacentral:rRNA from 1 species